AAACGUAUACGAGAGCAUAGAUCAGUGUGAGAAUGUAGUAAUUAU
rnacentral:guide_RNA from 1 species